ACGUGAGCGAACCUGCCUCUGAGAGACGGGAUAGCUUACUGGAAACGGAAUGGUAAUACCUCAUAACGUAGUUUAGCCGCAUGACUGAACUACCAAAGAUUUAUCAACUCAGAGAUGGGCUCGCGUCUGAUUAGCUAGUUGGUGAGGUAACGGCGUCACCAAGGCGACGAUCAGUAGCCGGACUGAGAGGUUGAACGGCCACAUUGGGACUGAGACACGGCCCAGACUCCUACGGGAGGCAGCAGUGAGGGAUAUUGCACAAGUGGAGGAAACUCUGAAUGCAGCGAUGCCGCGUGGAGGAAGAAGGUUUUCGGAUUGUAAACUCCUGUUUCGAGGGACGAUAAUGACGGUACCUCGGGAGGAAGCUCCCGGCUAACUACGUGCCAGCAGCUGC
rnacentral:rRNA from 1 species